ensembl:lncRNA
GCUCCGGCCUCGCACCCGCACCGCGUCCCGCAGUGUCACCGCGACCUCGGCCCCGCGCCCUGCCAGGUUUCCCCUCCGCUUGCCAGCGAUGCCAGCGGGCAGAGGUGGAGGACGAUGGAAGCAGGGGGCGAAGGAAGGGUGUGGGGAGGGAGAGGGUGGCUAUUUUUCCUCCCCCCCCGUUUAUUUUCUUGCUGCGGACAAAGGUGGCUCUGCGUGCCGGCCGGGAGGGCACGGGACGCCGGUGGGGCAGCCGCUCCGGGGCUUUGGGUGGCCGCUUCCUCCGCACACAGAUGGCUGUUUCGACUCAGUCGAGCGCUUGACCUAAAUCUCCUCCUGAUCCACGGGAGCUGCAGUCCCUCAGCAGCACAGCUCAAGGCGAGGAGGAGGAGGAGGAGGAGGAGGAGGAGGAGGAGGAGGAAGGGAGCCAGCUGCAGACCGGCGGGAGGGUCACGCCGUGGGGUCCCCACCCCAGGGCUGGCGGAGGGUGGAAAUCUCCACCAUCUCCGACCUAUCUCCGCCAUCUCCCAAACCUCCGAAACCUCGGAAAUCUCCAAAAUCUCCGGAAUCUCCCACGCUUGGAGCCCCGGCACCCACUUCCCGCGCCUGCGCGCCCGGCCCCGCAGCUUCGACGCCCCGGCAGCCCACUUCCUCGCCCCGGGGGCCUCGCAGAGGAAGCUCCAACGGUUCCGAAAGUUUUCGGCUGUGACUCAGCCGCUGGCUGGGGUGGCCGAGGUCGGCCCCGACGUGGGGCCGCGGGACCCCGGCGGUUCGGGGGGAUUUUUGGGCUCCCCAGACGAGGGCUGUCUGCACCGCGCCGCGCUCCACCCCCAGUGUCAGAGCAGCCCAAACCGGCUCCCAGCGACAGCAGAAAGCUUUUAAAAUCCCCUACGCGCGGCAUGACUCACUCCAAAGCCAGUGCCCAAAACAAGCUCCGACACGGAGAGGAAUGGAGACGGCAGAGAAAGAGAAGAGGCAGAAAUAACAGCAUCUGAAACUCUGCCUGCUGGAGGCUAAUUGGUUCCGGCACAGCCUGGUUUGUUUGGCAAUGUUUCCUCUAAUCCUUCAGGCUCCGCGCUCCCAGCCCCAGAGACGCGGGGACAUCGCUCCGCCCGGCACCGACACCCGGGCAGCGCCGCCGCGGCACCGGG